GACGUAGGAUGCAAGCGUUGUCCGGAUUUAUUGGGCGUAAAGAGCUCGUAGGCGGCUUGUCGCGUCGAAUGUGAAAACCCACAGCUCAACUGUGGGCUUGCAUUCGAUACGGGCAGGCUAGAGUUCGGUAGGGGAGACUGGAAUUCCCGGUGUAGCGGUGAAAUGCGCAGAUAUCAGGAGGAACACCAGUGGCGAAGGCGGUUACCUGGGCUUGUUCUGACGCUGAGGCACAAAAGCUGGGGGAGCAAACGGG
rnacentral:rRNA from 1 species